rnacentral:rRNA from 1 species
GAGGAAUAUUGCGCAAUGGAGGAAACUCUGACGCAGCCAUGCCGCGUGAAGGAUUAAGGCCCUAUGGGUUGUAAACUUCUUUUGUAUGGGAAUAAACGCUCUUACGUGUAAGAGCCUGAAGGUACCAUAAGAAUAAGCACCGGCUAACUCCGUGCCAGCAGCCGCGGUGAUACGGAGGGUGCAAGCGUUAUCCGGAUUUAUUGGGUUUAAAGGGUCCGUAGGCGGACUAUUAAGUCAGGGGUGAAAGCCCGCAGCUCAACUGCGGAAUUGCCUUUGAUACUGGUAGUCUUGAGUACAAGUGAAGUUGGCGGAAUGUGUGGUGUAGCGGUGAAAUGCUUAGAUAUCACACAGAACACCGAUUGCGAAGGCAGCUGGCUAACUUGUAACUGACGCUGAGGGACGAAAGUGUGGGGAUCAAAC